rfam:Gorilla gorilla gorilla genomic chromosome, chr14, whole genome shotgun sequence
GCCAGGCAUGAUGGCACGUGCCUGUAGUCCAAGCUACUUGGGAGGCUGAGUUGGGAGGAUCACUUGAGCCCAGGAGGUUGAGGCUGCAGUGAGCCAUUAUCAUGUUACUGCACUCCAGCCUGGGCGACAGAGUGAGACCCUGUUUCAA